rnacentral:misc_RNA from 1 species
UUAAGUUCAGCGGGUAUCCCUACCUGAUCCGAGGUCAACCUUUGGUUAAGUGGACGAUCCCCCUCCAGUUAAAGAAGGAAACACGUCCGGUUAAAAGGCCAGAAAAGCCGGCCGGUCCUAGAAAGCGUUGGAAAUCCCAUUCGCUCAGGCGCCGGAAUCGCGGCCUAGCCACUGCAUUUCGGGCGCGUCCCGCCGUAAGG